GGAAUUAGAAUCAUGGAGAUGCUGCUAAAGGAACAGUGUGGUGCCCCCUUAGCUGAAUAAAGAAUCAUCACUUAUAAGUGGGGAAACAAAGACUGGAAAAUGUAUGUGAUUUGCUCAACAAAUCAAGAGCCUGUGUUAACAUCUGGCGUGGAUCCAAAACCCAUGUUCUUUACUGUGUUGUCAAAAAUGUUCUGGAGGCCAUUGCAAGGUUCUCCCUCCAGACCCCUCCUCACCCUCUGGCAUAGUUACAGGGCAAACACUGGAUCUAAGCCAGUCAGAUGGGCUCUUUCUUCUGGAACUGAAUCCUCAGCAGAAUGACAAAGAAAGACUAAACAACGAUGACUCAAAUGAAUUGAUCCUUUGAUUCCACAUCAGCUCCUUCAUGAGACUGGGAAGCAGUUCCUUUACCUUCUUUGAUGUCCCAUUGUGGAGCUGGCUCCUCCAGCUUUCCCAGCAAUUCUAUGGGAAUCAUUCUCCAGUGAUUUCUCUUUUUGGAUGGCCUAAGUUGGAUUAUGU
rnacentral:sRNA from 1 species